GACGAACGCUGGCGGCGUGCCUAAUACAUGCCAGUAGAACGCACAGUUUAUACCGUAGCUUGCUACACCAUAGACUGUGAGUUGCGAACGGGUGAGUAACGCGUAGGUAACCUGCCUGGUAGCGGGGGAUAACUAUUGGAAACGAUAGCUAAUACCGCAUAAUAUUAAUUAUUGCAUGAUAAUUGAUUGAAAGAUGCAACUGCAUCACUACCAGAUGGACCUGCGUUGUAUUAGCUAGUAGGUGAGGUAACGGCUCACCUAGGCGACGAUACAUAGCCGACCUGAGAGGGUGAUCGGCCACACUGGGACUGAGACACGGCCCAGACUCCUACGGGAGGCAGCAGUAGGGAAUCUUCGGCAAUGGACGAAAGUCUGACCGAGCAACGCCGCGUGAGUGAAGAAGGUUGUCGGAUCGUAAAGCUCUGUUGUAAGAGAAGAACGGGUGUGAGAGUGGAAAGUUCACACUGUGACGGUACCUUACCAGAAAGGGACGGCUAACUACGUG
rnacentral:rRNA from 1 species